UACAGAGGGUGCGAGCGUUAAUCGGAAUUACUGGGCGUAAAGCGCGCGUAGGCGGCUUUGCAAGUCGGGUGUGAAAUCCCCAGGCUCAACCUGGGAACUGCAUUCGAGACUGCAUUGCUAGAGUAUCGGAGAGGUUGGUGGAAUUCUCGGUGUAGAGGUGAAAUUCGUAGAUAUCGAGAGGAACACCGGUGGCGAAGGCGGCCAACUGGACGAAUACUGACGCUGAGACACGAAAGCGUGGGGAGCAAACAGG
rnacentral:rRNA from 1 species